rnacentral:rRNA from 1 species
UACGUAGGGGGCAAGCGUUGUCCGGAUUUAUUGGGCGUAAAGAGCGUGUAGGCGGCCAUACAGGUCAGCUGUGAAACUCGAGGCUCAACCUCGAGACGUCGGUUGAAACCGUAUGGCUAAAGUCCGGAAGAGGAGAGUGGAAUUCCCGGUGUAGCGGUGAAAUGCGCAGAUAUCAGGAGGAACACCGGUGGCGAAGGCGGUUCUCUGGGCAUUACCUGACGCUGAGGAGCGAAAGUGUGGGGACGCGAACAGG